rnacentral:lncRNA from 1 species
AGAAGAAAAAUACAAGAAGAGAGUAAAUAAGUUCCACUCUUAUAAUUUGAGAAAUAAAUUGAUAGAUAAAUGAAAUAUAUGAGUACCUGUUUUCAUUUGUGUACACUUACAUGUGUGUAUAAGGGGCUAGUAACUGCUGCACAAACCACUUAGACAACAAUCUCAGUCAAACAGGUAUGGUUUAUUCAAAGCACACCCAGGAGCUGAACUGUGACACCCAGCUACAAUCCUAUAAAGCAUUUAAGCCUGAAAUCCACAAACAUCUGUGACAAGCUAUUCCACCAAUCAGGAUUUAGGAAUAGAAUAUUUCCUUAGGAACAUGUCGUUAAACAUUUAUCCUGUUCUCUUUGGUUGGGGGUAUUAAACAGUAGCUGGGGACUUACCUUGCAUGUCUCACCUUGCCAACCAAGAUUUAUAUGGUCCUUUUUGUCGAGUAGGAUGUCAAUUCCCAGAGAAGUCUUGGGAAUUUAAACUUUAUUCCACCCCUACUCAAAAUGAAAGCUUUAUUCCCAAUGGCUUCCUCUAUUGGCAUAGCUGUCUUCCCUAUGUUGGGGUCCAUCUCAGGAGCAGCUUAUAAAGGCUAGAAAUUAUUAAAAAAAACAUAUACAUAGAUGUGGGAAAUGCUGCUGGGUGGUUGGUUUUGUUUCAAGCUUAUUGUGACUAACUACACAAAGCAGUUCUAACUGAUUUUAUUGUAAUUGGUUUCCAGGAACAUCCAAUCACUGAAUAUAAUAGAAUAUGCAAUCAACUAGGGCAUAAGAAAGUUUCCUAGUAACAGUAUAUAAGAAACCUUCCUUGUAACAUUAGUAACAGCUCAAAAUGCCUGGCUAGACAGGCACCAGUUUCCCAUGCCUUAACAGAGUAUAAAUGUAGCCGUGUGUGUACAUAUAUGUGGGGUCCAAAGGACAACUCCUGGGGUUAUUUCUCAUGUACUAUGUCCCUCCUUUGAGACAGAGUCUCUUGUAAAUGUCACUUUUAUUUCCUCAGUUGAAGUGAUGAGAUAAGAGCCAGACUCAAGCUGUAGGAAUAUGUGGCUUGGGAUAAGCCUAGAGAGUUUCUUUCUCUGUUAUAAAUAUUUAUAGGCUAUACCUGGAAGCUGGAAACAAACAACUCGCCCCCCCCCCCAUCUCCCUGGUUACUGAAAUAUAGGCCCCAACACAGCUAUAAAAUUUUUUGACCUACAAUCUUUCUUGCCUGCAAAAUAUAUUAGUUCAAUGGUGGCACCAAACUUGUGAGAGUAUCCAACCAAUGUCUAAUUUGACUCAAGCACAAUUCAUGAGAAGGAACCUCAGCCUGACACUGCUUUUGUAACCAAGUACCAAAGACCAAAUAGCCCAGAGACCUAGGGUAAAAUUAAACUUUACUGGUCUAAAAAAAAAAAAAAUCAAACUGUAACAACAAAUUGACUCCUAAUGAUAUUUUUCUAUAUCAGUGUCUUAACCAGUCAUCAUUAUAGAGACUUCCUCUGGCAGCAGAUGAAAACAGAUGUAGAGACCCACAAUGAGACAUUUUCUGAGAGAUAGACUAUGUAGAAUAAUUCCGCUCAGAACUUAGAGAAUCCCAUGGAAAAGUAGGCAGAAAGAGUCUAAGAGCCAGAGGUGAUGGAGAACACGGCCCUAUGAAAGUAGAUGGGGGCAGGGGAACUACAACCAGGAUAUACUGUAUGAGGGGGAAAAAAGCUAUUUUUAAUAAAAGAAAAGAAUUGAAUCUGACUUAAGGCCAUUUAUGAGGAAUUCCACCAGUAAGCAAUAUUGUUCAGCUACUCCUCCUGCUCCCACAGAUACACAAAACAUAGUGUUGCAGGAAAGAUUAGCUGCUAAUUGACAUUUUCUGCAACUUAGAAUCUUGCAGUAUUUUCACUCUCCACCUUCUGCCCAGCACUGCUUUCUCAGCCCCAGGCUCCAACACCACACAGAUGGGUUGAAUCUAAGCACAUCUGCCACUGUUGCCAAGAAGUAAACACAUUCAGCUGGGAGCAGAUGUUUUCCAGGAAAGGUCACUACCAUCCGAGCUGCUCAGUUCUGGGUUCUGUGUUAGUUAAUGCUUCAUGCUUGGCCAUAGGCCUUUCUGCCCAAGUGGAUCACUUGACUCUCACAUCUAGCACAGUAACAUGAUUGAUGUAGGUUCAUUCACUGGAUUUUGUCUGGCACAGGAAUGUAAAAAUAUGAAUUAAGAGAGCCCCUGUAGGCUGAGAUCUUCUGUAGCUGCAUUGUUUUAAUAAACCUUUGUGUUAACUUGAAUAACUUAUUGAGAUCUAUUUUAAAAACUAUAAAUCCC